CAACGAAAUAAGGAAGAGACGUGUACGUGGGACGAGCUGCAUAAACUGAGGACAGGUGGAGCAUUUUGGAAACCGCUACGUUAAGGAGGAAAGCAGGUUUAACAUCUUGCCACCACAAGAAACUCGGAAAUGAAGGUGCUUAUGCUGCCGGAUCCUGCUAACAAGUUGCUACAAGGAGAGGGGACAAAGCUUUCAACUGGACUGAAACUGUCAACUGUUGUGGAUUGUGUGCACAAACUGCAGGAUGAAGGCCUCUGCACGCACUGGCCAGUGCCACUGCCACAUCUACCACCAUUUCAAUGAAACGCAGACCCCAAAUCAGUAAAAACUUAUAUGUAUGUAGGUGAAGAAAUGACCGGAAUCAAGUCCAAUGACAAAACUGAGCUACAGAGACUGUAUUUCAACGCCUUGGAUUGCAUACUAGGGGAGAGGGAUUCACAUUUUAGUCAGCACAAAACCGCACUGUCCACUGCACUUAAAGGGCUUGAUCCAGAGGGAGAGAUAUUUUUGGAUGUAUCGGCAAUAAAGCCAAUCAUGGACUUGACAAAUACUGCAAUUGUGGAAUCCGAAUGUAUUGUACAUCUCCAAACUAAAAAAAAAAAAAACAGUCAAGAAAAGUGGACUGUUGAAAGGCUCCUGUCAGAACAGCACAAAAUACUCAAGGCCAUUACGAGAAAACUCAUUCUCUACAUUAAAGGAUGUUGUUUAUCCUUUAAUUUUGUCAUAGUUUGAGGUUUUGUCAUAUGUUUCCUGUUUUAUUUUGUAGUAUUCUCCUCCCCUUGUGUGUCUUGUGGUUUUACUUCCUGUCUUUGUUGGCUCCUCCUUGAUUGUUUGCACCUGUGUCUCGCUGUCUCACCUACCUCAGUGUAUUUACUCUGGGUCUUUUCCUUUGUUCAUUGUUGGGUCGUUGUUGCUGUCAUGUGCGUGUUUUAUUGUACCUAUGUCAAGCAGCCAGGCAGUUGUUUCUGAUGAGUUCUGUUGGAAUUAUUCUUUGUCUCCCUUGGACUGUGUCUGGAUUCUGGACUUUGAACUUUGCCUGCUCCCUGUCAGCUUUGUUGGACUUAUUUCCUGGUUUCGACCUCAGCCACCCUGUAACCCAUUUACCUGGACCUAUAUCUGCCUACCAGUCUGUUACCUGUUUGUUGCCUGUCUGCCUGUGAGCUACAUCACCAAAUAAAUACUGAAGUCAUCCUG